GUUAAUUAUGAUUUUUGAGUCCUAUCUCAGAUACCCUCACCGGCCUCUGGAACCUAAUUAAGCAGCUUGAGUGUGUGUGACAGCAUCAUCUACAGAAAUAUUUAACUGGUCUGAACAGCGCACACAAAUCCUGAAAAAGAUGGGACGGUCAACAUGCUGCUGAAAAAGGCGUACUGAGACCUGGAGAAAGGCGAGCAGAUAGCUGUACAAAUCUGCCCCCCAGUUGGUUUCUCCUCUCCAGUGACUCAGGUGCUGAUCUCCUUCUAUCUUUACCAGCAGCACCACAAGGAGCAAGAACACAGAGCUAUCCAGGGAAAUUACCCUGUCGACAGACGGCACAUUGAGACUUCGUUAGCACAACCAUCCAACCUAGUGCCUCUCCAGCCUGAUCGAACUGAGCAACUCUCCAUGACAGAGUAAACAAAGCAGAAUCACCGGCAUGAUGAGGAAAAGAAGGUCUUUUUCAUUUGAUUCAAUUGCUGCAAAUCCCUGAAUACCCAUGUGGUUUUGUGUAUCAUAAACUUCAAUGAGGGUAUGUGAGUGGAAAGCCACAAGUGGAAAUAUGUCCCUUUGUUCUUAUUAUGAAUCUAUAUCUUUGCAUGUAUGCGUUUGUGUGUUUUUCUGCAUAUGUUUUUGUUUGUGCGUGUUUUUUAUGAGGGUAUUUUAUAUGUAAAUUUGACUUUCUGCAUGCGAUGCACCUGUAUACAAUGAGUCCAUAUUGAUAUUUACCUUAUAAUGGAUUUUCUAGGUGGGGUGUUUGUAUUCAUGCAAAUAUUUGUGUAUGUGUGCUUCUCUGUGCGUGUGUGUCUGUUUGUGUGCUUCAGGCAGAGGAGAAUGUCUGUGUUGAGUAAAAAGAAGAAGCGGAGGAGAGGUAUAAGUCAGAGCCUGUGAGUAAACAACCUGCAGUAGCUACAGCUAGUGUCAGUCUUCCUACCUCGCCUCCAUGGCUGCCGUGCCUUCCUCCUUUACUUUCCAUCCUCUGCGCUUAAACAAACACACACAGCAAUUGUGCUGCCAAGUUACUGAAAAACUCGUUCAGCAAACUUCCGGGCUCCUGCAACUCUGCUCAGCUUUUUGUGCCUAAAUUGAUAAUUGAAUUGACUAUCGCCAUGUAAUCAAUUAGGGUGUUCAUCCCCGGCUCUGAUUCAAACAGUUAAUUGGCUUGUGCCACAGAGAGGCUGAGACGAAGAGCUGACUGGUGCAGGAGGGACUGUUGGAUUACUACAGAUGGGCUCAGACCUAUUUGCAUUGUGUCUGACUUUAAGUCCUUGAUUGCCUUUCCUGGUUCAGAAAUUGCCUGGAUGCGAGCAGCACACAGGUUGUAAAAGGACCUCGGUGACAAAUUCUGCCUGUUUAAGUGAAGAGGGUGAGGAUACAUAUAGAGUGUGCACAGCGGG
rnacentral:lncRNA from 1 species